rnacentral:lncRNA from 12 species
GAGCUGACUUGCACAGUCUUGAGAGCCCCUGGGGACAUUUUGCCUGGGCUCCAGGAACUUCUUAAUUUUUCAGGGAAAGAGAGGAUUUGCAAUAAUGCCAUCAACUCCACACCACCUGGUUACUCCCCGACUGCCCGACUGGGACCCUUCCCGGGCGUUCUGCCCCACCAGCCAGUGAGGACAAGAAUUCUUCUGCUGUCCAGCUCUGGAACACCUGGACCUGCCCUGGCAAGGGACUUGCUCACAGAGCCUGACCAAGCACGAAGCAUUGACCAGGAGCCCUGGGACCCCCGGGCCUUGCAAGGGCUUCAUAGUGCCCACCAGGCCUGCACUGGCGCAUCCAGUCCCCUACCCAAGCAUGAGUGCAUCUUCCCAGACAUUUUGCCACCCACUUGCCCCACCACACUCCUCAGCCUCUACUGCGGUGACCCCGUAAAUGUCAAAAGAUACACCUGCAUGAGGUAUGGCCAAAGUGGUGCUAGGGCAGCCUUUGAGAACAUGAUUUUUACUAGUAUUGACAAAAGAAAAGCAAGGGGGUAGGGUUCCCCAGAAACAAUGAAACAACACCCCCCCCCAUCUGCUCCUCACAUCUCCUCAGUGUUCUCACGUGAGAAGACACUAAGAAAGCUAAAACUUCCUGCCCCUUCUUGGCAAGUGAAGAGGAUCUUCCAGAACUUCAUGAGUGUAGCUGCAAAACUAGCAGGACUCCAGGAGUAGGACCUUUCAACCCUGUUUUCCCUCUAGAGUGGAGAAGACUCUGUGUACUUUAUUUUGUAAGAUAAAAUAUAGGUGCAAAUGAUGAAGGGCACCUCUUGCCAUAGCCCCCUUCUCAGCCCUGUGCAGGUGUCUUGUCCAGAGCCCCGGGCCUCAGUUUCUGGCACCCUUUUGCCCCAAGCAGCCAGUGCUACACCAGCCUUGGGGACAAUGGGGACAAGAUUCUGCCCACAGGAGUUUACGGUCAUGGUUAGGGAACUCAAACAUGGCUAAAAGACAACCCAGGAGGUAGGGAUACAUGGAAAUAAAUACCCUAAACUCUCUGAUCA